UAGAGAAGCCCUGGGAGUAACAGCCUCUUUUAUCUGCUUUCUUUUCUCUUGAGAGCUCUUUUGCUGCAUGAACUAUAUUGCUUGCCUGGUGUGCAGCUAUUGUCCUGGAUUGAAUUAGCUGGUCUGCAGACCCUUGCAGAUGCAGAGCUUGCACAGAUAAUCCUUGCUGACAUGGGGGAGUGCUUCAUCAUAUGAGUUCCAGCAGGUGCCUUGAAACAAGCUAUGGAAGAACAGGGUCAGGAGCAUUAUGUGGCUGAAGUCGGACUACUUCUAUGGGAACACAGAAGCACAGAGCACUAAAGCAGAUCUUCAGCAGAGCCAAAGAAAGAACCUGUAUCCAUAUGUCCCCACUCCACCUGCUGCUGCAGGGACAUGUUUUCUCUCCGACACCAUCUCCUUUGAACCAGGUGUUAAGUAGCAGGACUAUGAAUUCUGGAUGCCGGGCAAUUCACUGUGCUGCAUUGUGCCUCAGUUUCCCCAUCUUCAAACUACGUAUAAUAAAAAUCUAUCCGCUUUUGGAAGGCACAUCCUGCUCUUUGGCUAAG